AUUCCAGCUCCAAUAGCGUAUAUUAAAGUUGUUGCAGUUAAAAAGCUCGUAGUUGGAUUUCUGGCGGGAUGAACACGCCCUCAGCUGAGUGUGCAUGAGCGUCUCACCAUCCUUCUGUUAACCCUUAAGGUUUUAACGACCUUCUGGGGGCUCAGAUAUUUUACCUUGAGAAAAUUAGAGUGUUUCAGGCAGGCUAGCGCCGGGAUACAUUAGCAUGGAAUAAUGGAAUAGGACUUUUUCCUCUUCUGUUGGUCUGAGGGGUUCGAGUAAUGAUUUAUAGGGAUAGUUGGGGGUGCUAGUAUUCAGCGGCCAGAGGUGAAAUUCUUGGAUUCGCUGAAGACUAACUUAUGCGAAAGCAUUCACCAAGGAUGUCUUCAUUG
rnacentral:rRNA from 1 species